rnacentral:rRNA from 1 species
GAUGAACGCUGGCGGCGUGCCUAAUACAUGCAAGUAGAACGCUGAAGGAGGAGCUUGCUCUUCUGGAUGAGUUGCGAACGGGUGAGUAACGCGUAGGUAACCUGCCUGGUAGCGGGGGAUAACUAUUGGAAACGAUAGCUAAUACCGCAUGACAACAGUUAUUGCAUGAUAACUGUUUAAAAGGGGCAACUGCUCCACUACCAGAUGGACCUGCGUUGUAUUAGCUAGUUGGUGAGGUAACGGCUCACCAAGGCGACGAUACAUAGCCGACCUGAGAGGGUGAUCGGCCACACUGGGACUGAGACACGGCCCAGACUCCUACGGGAGGCAGCAGUAGGGAAUCUUCGGCAAUGGACGGAAGUCUGAACGAGCAACGCCGCGUGAGUGAAGAAGGGUUUCGGAUCGUAAAGCUCUGUUGUAAGAGAAGAACGAGUGUGAGAGUGGAAAGUUCACACUGUGACGGUAGCUUAACAGAAAGGGACGGCUAACUACGUG